UGUAGGAGUGAGCCUGCUCGCGAUAGCGGUGGUUCAGUCGACUUCUGAGUUGACUGGCACACCGCUAUCGCGAGCAGGCUCACUCCUACA
rnacentral:antisense_RNA from 1 species